rnacentral:rRNA from 1 species
AUGGUGUUGCGCGACCAUCAAGGACAGAUCAUCUUUGCAGCGUACCGUGUCCUGUUCCACUGCAACGACGCUCUGGAGGCUGAACUUCACGCGCUGCUGCAGGGUAUGGCCUUGGCCAUCCAACACUCGGUCCUUCCGGUCGUCGUCCAGUCAGACUCCUAUGAAGCCUUGGCGAAUCUCUCAAGCGAUGCUUUAUCUCGCUCCGCCUACGGUCAUUUGGUUCUAGAGAUUAAGGAGUUGAUAAGUAAUAGGGAGUUUGUACCUCUGAAAAUUUGUCGGUCUCAGAAUAGAGUUGCCGAUCGUUAG